AAAAUCCAUGUUGUGUCAAUUAGCUCCAUUCUUCAAACCUGGAAGGAAAUGUUCGAGUUCCGUAGAAAAACCCUGAAGGGCUGUUGAUCCAAACGCCAGCGUAUGUGAGCCCCUCGGGCAUACAAUUUCUGCUGGAAAACCGUAGACUGGGCCAAAGCCAGCGGUUCUCAAACUCUAGCAUGCAUAAGAACCACCUGGAGUGCUUGUCAAGCCCCAAAUUGAAGGGAGGGCCCCACUUCCAGAGUGCCUGAGUCAGUAGGUCUGAGAGCCGGAUCAUUUGUGCUUCUGACAAGUUCCCAAGCCUUGUUGAUGCAGCAGCUCUGAGAACCCCACUCUGACAGCAGCUUCUCCAGAGAGAUCUUCACAAGCCAUUGCUGCCUCUUGUCGUUAGUGAGCUGGUAUUUCUUCACCAAUGUUGGCCUUUCCUGAACACACCAUGCUAAGUUAUCCACCUGCCCUGGAAUAGGCUAUUCCCUCCACCCCCGGGAGCCCCACCGUCUGCCCUUUUCCAAGCCCAGCUCAGACCGAUAGACCUGGCCAACAGCCUCCCGCCACCGCUCCACCCGCGCCUGCCGCUCAUUUCUCUGCGCGCCUCGCACACUGUGCUUUGUGUUUGUCUGCCACAACAGAACAGUUUGUUUCCCUGUGUGUGGGCGGCAUUCCACGUGUGGUACCUGCCGACAACUUUUGAGGUACCUCAGUACUUGUAGACAGUACACAGACAAACAAAUGACACUGAACCACAAGAAAAGGAAGCUACUGUUUUCGGUUCUUUCCAAACUCUGCUUAAGCCUGGGAGAAAGCCUCAGUCUGGGGCUAAUGUGUCCUGACCCCCUUGCUAAUAACGCUCCAGCUCUGCGCCUGAGUCAGGUCAUUCCAUCACCGUCACCAUCAUCAUCAAAACAACGGCCGCUGAGCUCCUGUAGUCCUUUCUGUGUGCUUGGCAGUGUUUUAAGGGCUUUACCUAUAUUUACAUAAAUUAAUUCAGUUCCUCCUCACGAGCCUAUGAAGUAGAGAGAAUCAAGACUCCCAGUUUACAGAUGAAGAAACUGAGGCGCAGAGAGUUUAUGUGACUCACUCAUGGUCACACAGCUGGAAAGUGGGAGAACCAGGAUUGCAACCUGGGGGGAGGAUCUGAGUGCGUGCUCUUAACUACAAUACGCUGAACUAAGGUCUAAUACUGUUUGUCUUAUCCUUGUCUUCUCUCUGGAGCAAGAAUACUCUAUAUUUAGGUGGUGAUA
rnacentral:lncRNA from 1 species